GCCAGGUGUGGUAGCGCACGCCUGUAAUCCCAGUGUCUCGGGAGGCUGAGACAGGAGGAUUAUGAGUUCAAAGCCAGCCUCAGCAACUUAGUGAGGCACUACUAAGCAACUGAGUGAGACCCUGUCUCUA
rnacentral:sRNA from 1 species